CAUGUCCUUUCUCCUUCAGGGGAACAUCAGCCAACUGAGACAACCAAUCACUCUGGGCUUCAAGUAAACAUAACCUAUAGGAGCCUUUGGAAGGAUCCCCUGAAUUUCUUGCUACCCAGCCCAAAGAUCUGGGUGUGCCUGCUGCCAGAAAAGCAGCUGCCAGAGCCCCCCACUGCCUGAAUGGUGUCAGUCCAGUACUCCUCUUGGAAUGUCAAUUAAUAAGAAAGGAGGUUGUCUGGGUGCAUUGGAAGAGCAACCAACGCUCUCAGGGAUGGAGGAAAAUGAGCUGCAGAUGGUUUCCUUAAUGGGUACUUUGAGCUCAUGGAAGAAAUAAGUGCAAAGAGUGAGGAGCCACUGUCUUGCAGGCCAGUCUCUUGAGAGAAAAACACAAACUCCUGGAGACAGGUGAAGUACACAGAGCUGUGCAGUUGCCUGGAAGAAAGAGGAUGCAAACGGAGGUUACAGUGGCUGCUCCUGGGGCUGCUAUUGUCCACACUGUUGCCAGGGGACCACCUCCACUUCUACUUCCUGGAAGGAGGAGCUGCAGUCACCAGAGGUCAGAAGCCCAUGGCUGCUCCUUGCUACUAAGAGGACCCUGCAGGGAUUUCUAGGAACCAGAUACGAGCUACCUGUACUGUUUCCUGUCCUGAAGGCUUUCUCCUGGGCCCCACUAAGUUUACCAAUCAGAGAAAGUCAGAUGCUUGUGUUCUCCUGGAAAGAAACAAUGGCUGCCAGUCCCCUCCCCUCCUGUGGUGACGGAGAGCAGUGGGUGCUCCAUGACGACCAGUGAGGAGAGAUGACAUUCAGAGAUCUCCAUUGUCCUCUUUUCAGAGAUGACAGCUGAGAGCUACCUCAGAACAUGGGGAGAAUAAGUCCUUCAUUCCUGAAGAGGGAUCUGGGUGCAGGUCCCAGGGUCUCCCACAGUCACCCAUUAAGAAAGGACAGUGGAACUGUCUCCUCAAUCCUCUACCACAAGCCCUUUCCUUUGUCAUCAAGUCUCUGCCUGAUAGAAGGGCUCAAGUCAUCUCCAUGACUGACAUUCCAAACCAUCCUGGCAUACCUGGCAAGCCGAAGGGAUGAGGGUUGGACAAGAGCUCAACUGCAGGGCUGCAAGUGAGACUGUCCUCCUCUGCAGCACUCAGAAAGAACAGAACUCACUCCUGCCCACAGGCUGGAUAAUCCUUCACUCAGAAUCCAAAAUCUGACGUGAUUUCACUUCACUCUCUCACCAACCCAUCCCUGCUGACCUGGCUGGUCCUAUCUUGUCACUGCAGGACCCAGAAUCUAGAACUUACACAUCACAGAAUCUUAUGGAAAUUAGUAAUCAUUUUCCACUGAGGAGUUGAGACCCACAAGCAGGGUGGCUUCUCAAUACCAUGUAAUAUCUCAUCUGAGGAUGCAAAGCUGGUUCAAGAAGAGGUGGGACUAGAGCCCAUGUCUCCUGACUCCAAGAUUUUGGCAUUGGGCACCAUCCAGGCACCAUGGCAACAAGCAACCCUGCUUGAUCUGGUAUCCCUCUCUACUCUCUUCUCUGUGCCCAGCCUCACAUACAUCUCAAACAGUACCAACUCUCACCUCCACCUGCAAAGUUCUUCUUCCCCUUUGCUUUGUUAAUUCUUGCUCAUUCUUCUGAUGACUCCCUAGAAAGCUUUUCCAGACUUCCCUAGUCCCACUCUACUCUCCUUUUUCCUCUCCAAACACCCUGCAUUCAUCCAUCAUGUACACAACUCUCAGUGAGAUCUAUCAUUGUGCAAUUGUUUAUUCAAUGUAUGCCUGAAAGAAUACGAGCUCCAUGACAAGGGUACGAGAGCUGCCUUAUUCACCAGCACAACCUGUUAUGGUUUAGAUGUCCCCACAAAGCCUCAUGUGGUCAUAAGAGGCUUUUGCAGAGGUGGCUGAAUCUAGAAUAUGUGAUGCUGGGACUAAGGGUGUGUGAUUACUAAACCUGUACACUGAUUGGUUUGGCACCACCCUAAUCCUGGUAGUCUGGAUGAGAUAAAAGGGACAGAAAGGUCCCUUGUUAAGGUCCCUUGUUGCUUUUGCUACUGUGUGGGUGCCAUGAACAGUUUCUCUUCUCCAACACCUCUCUGUCACGUGCCACUCUGCCUUGCAGCCAGUUGACUAUGGACUAAAAUCUCUACAAACUAUGAGCUAAAUAAACCCUUUCCCCUUUAACUUUGAGUUCCAGGUAUUAUGUCUCAUCAAUGAGAAAAGUAACUAACACACCUCCCAGAAGGAAUAACACAGCACCCAGAAGGAAUAAAC
ensembl:lncRNA